UUUUGCAUUGUUUUGCCAAGUUUUGUAUUUCUGGGGUGUUUAGUUGUGUGCCAAGUUUCGUAUUUCUGGGACGUUUAGUUGUGUUGUUAUAGUCAUGAUGCAUUGUUGUGAGUUUUGUGGGUCCGGAUUGUGGUUUUGUGGUGUGGUUGUGUUGUUACAAAUGGGAGGCAAGGCUUUUGCAUUGUUUUGCCAAGUUUUGUAUUUCUGGGGCGUUCAGUUGUGUGCCAAGUUUCGUAUUUCUGGGGCGUUUAGUUGUGUUGUUAUAGUCACGAUGCAUUGUUGUGAGUUUUGUGGGUCCGGAUUGUGGUUUUGUGGUCUAUUGUUUUAAAUGUUUUAACCUGUUGUUGCAUUGUCAUGUAUAGGCAGUGCUGUGAUGUUUUUGAUACAGGGUUCAGUUGAAAUAUUUUAAUUAAUAAAUAUGUGAUCCAUCAUCCUUCCCUCACAUUCCCAUGGGUAAUGGAUUCUAGCACUUAGUUCUUCUCCCUGGUGUGUUCCUGUAAUUGACUGGAUGAAAUACAAUCUAUUAUUUUUAUAAGUAAGGUAGGCAUUGAAUGUGGUGGUUAUGUUGAAAUGUAGAUCAGAAUUUCUCAAGUCUGCACUAAAAUAGCUCAUACAAGUCUACUCACACAGCAGCUUAGUGGGAUUCACCUUAAGCCAAAAACUAGUUCCAGCUAUAUCAAAUCCAAUGAAACAAUUGAAUCAAUUCUUAUAUAAAUCCCAUUAAUACAACGGAUCUACUGUAGCUAGGCUAGCAAUUGAAUUUAGGCUUUGCUGAUUAAUUGUUGAGGAGGCAAUUUUAACCUUAGAUGGAAAAUGUAUGCAAUGAACUGGGGAGUUAAGAUCCUGUUAGAGGUGGGUGACUGGUGUUUUUCAAGUGACUUUGGGCUCAUCCACACAGUUCUAUAUCCCAGAAUAUCAAGGCAGAAAAUCAGCAUCAUCAUCAUCAUCAUCAUCAUCAUCAUCAUCAUUUAAUUACUUAUUAAUCGCCCUCCACCCAAGAUGCUCUAGGCGAUUUACAAGCUAAAUUGUAAAGGAUAAAUACAUACCUACAAAUAUUGAUAAAAUUAACAUAGAUCAAAAGCUCUAGUAAAAAGCCAGGUCUUAAGUGCUAAGGUAAAAGGCCCUAACUCACGCAUGGCUCUCAUAUAGGGAGGCAAGGCAUCCCAUAAGGCAGGGGCAGAAAUAGAAAAAGCUCUGCGCCUGGUCCUUUCCAAGUGCACUUCUUUAGGACCCGGUAUAUAAAGUAAGUCGCGUUGGGAUGGUCGUUGCGACCUCCGAUGAUGGGAGAAGGAGAGACGGUCCCUAAGGUACGAUGGGCCCUGGCCGUAAAGAAUUUUAAAGGUCAGAACUAGAAUCUUAUAUAGACCACGGUAAUCAGUUGGAAACCAAUGCAGAUGCUGCAGAACUGGUGUUAUAUGGCAUUUCUUGUGAGUAGCCUGGCUGCCGCAUUCUGAACAAUACGGAGCUUUCGGGUCGUGGACAUCGGAAGGCCAACAUACAGGGCGUUGCAAUAGUCCAGCCUAGACAUGACCGUGGCAUGGAUGACUGUUACCAGAGCCUCAUCAGAUAGAUAGGGUGCCAAUUGCCUCACUUGUCGUAGAUGGAAAAAGGCCUGUUUGCUAGCAGCAGUGACCUGAGCUUCCAUUGUCAGCUGCGAUUCCAAAACGACACCCAAGCUCUUAACGGUAGGCAAAGGAGAUAGGGCAGUGCCAUCGAAGGUGGGUAGCAAAUGGGUCAGACCAAUCGAGCCGCCAUGCCAGAGAAUCUCAGUCUUCGCCGGGUUCACCUUCAGUCUACUAGCACGUAGCCAGUUCAACAGAGCCUCCAGACAUAAGGUGAAAUUGUCUGGUAUUGACGUUGCUCCAGGCUCCAAGCGCAGAAGGAGUUGGGUGUCAUCCGCAUAUUGACAGCAGUCUAGGCUGAAACUCCGAGCCAAACUAGCAAGAGGUCUAACGUAGAUGUUGAAGAGAAGAAGGGAGGGAAGAUCUUUCAGAGACUUGAUCCAUAUACUCCACGCAUUGGCUCCGGUUUCGGAGAAAUGAGCUGAACCAAUUGAGGGCCUGACCGCAAACUCCGGACACGGCAAGAUGGUGAAUCAUUAGAUCAUAGUCAACGGUGUCAAAUGCUGUGGUAAGGUCAAGAAGUACCAGUAGCGCUGAUCCGCCGCUAUCAGACUGGCAACUAAGUUCAUCUGUAAUGGCAACCAGGACUGUCUCCGUCCCAUGGCCAGGGCGGAAACCUGACUGGAAAGUGUCCAGGCUGGCUGUAUCAUCCAAAAAUUGUUGCAAUUGUCCCAGUACAGCCCGCUCUAUCAUCUUACCACAAUAUCUGCAUUGAACUGGGUUAUCUAUGUCCACACUGCCAUAAAUUCCAGUUCAAAGCAGAAAAUGUGGGAUUUUAUUUAGCUGUGUGGAAGGGCCUUUGAUUCUGAUCCAUUGGUUACUGUAUAAAGAAAUGGGAAAAAUUAAAACAUGUUUUUAUUCAAAGUAGUGGUCCUUGGACCCAUGCCAGU
ensembl:lncRNA